GAUGAAGAACGUAGCGAAAUGCGAUACGUAAUGUGAAUUGCAAAUUCAGUGAAUCAUCGAGUCUUUGAACGCACAUUGCGCCCCCUGGUAUUCCGGGGGGCAUGCCUGUCCGAGCGUCAUUGCUGCCCUCAAGCACGGCUUGUGUGUUGGGCCCCGUCCUCAGAUCCCGGGGGACGGGCCCGAAAGGCAGCGGCGGCACCGCGUCCGGUCCUCGAGCGUAUGGGGCUUUGUCACCCGCUCUGUAGGCCCGGCCGGCGCUUGCCGAUCAACCCAAAUUUUUAUCCAGGUUGACCUCGGAUCAGGUAGGGAUACCCGCUGAACUUAAGCAUAUCAAUAAGCGGAGGA
rnacentral:misc_RNA from 1 species